CAAGUACUUCAUCCGUCCGAAAAUACUUGUCCUAAAAAUGGAUAAAAUGGAUGUAUUUAUAAUUAAAAUAAGUCUAGAUACAACCAUUUUUUAGACAAGUAUUUUCGGACGAAGGGAGUACGUU
rfam:Triticum urartu cultivar G1812 contig393882, whole genome shotgun sequence.